UGUGUGUGUGUGUGUGUGUGUGUGUGUGUGUGUGUGUGUGUGUGUGUGUGUGUGUGCCAGCUAAGGCAGAGGAUGCAUGAGGAGCCUGAUUUUCGAGGGCGGGGGGGCAAACAAUAUAAUAAAUGGGGUAGCAAAAACUGGGCUGUAAUGUUUGAGUUAUGUUGAUAUUUGCGCAAAAUUAUAAUUUUUUUUUCUUUCUUCAAACAAAAAGGCUUCAUUUGAUCUGUGUUGUUUCUGUGUGAGGUAGCUUUUUAAUAGCAAAACAA